GUAGGUGGCAAGCGUUAUCCGGAAUUACUGGGCGUAAAGCGCACGCAGGCGGCCGUUUAAGUUUGACGUGAAAGCUCCUGGCUUAACCGGGAGAGGUCGUUGAAGACUGGACGGCUUGAGACGAGGAGAGGGGUGCGGAAUUCCCGGUGUAGUGGUGGAAUGCGUAGAUAUCGGGAGGAACACCAGUGGCGAAAGCGGCACCCUGGCCUCGGUCUGACGCUCAUGUGCGAAGGCGUGGGGAGCGAACGGGAUUAGAUACCCCGGUAGUCCACGCGGUAAACGAUGAACACUGGGUGUGGGGAGCGUAAAGCUGUCCGUGCCGAAGCCAACGCGUUAAGUGUUCCGCCUGGGGAGUACGGCCGCAAGGCUAAA
rnacentral:rRNA from 1 species